ACGCAUUUUUUCUUACCUGUGUUUUUCUUUUUUUGAAAACUUUGCUUUGGUAGGCCUUCUAUAUGGGGCCUGCCAGAGAUUAAACUCAACCAAAUUUUAUUUAAUGUCAACCGAUUAUUUAAUAGUCAAAACUUUCAACAACGGAUCUCUUGGUUCUCGCAUCGAUGAAGAACGCAGCGAAAUGCGAUAAGUAAUAUGAAUUGCAGAUAUUCGUGAAUCAUCGAAUCUUUGAACGCACAUUGCGCCCUUUGGUAUUCCAAAGGGCAUGCCUGUUUGAGCGUCAUUUCUCCCUCAAACCCUCGGGUUUGGUGUUGAGCGAUACGCUGGGUUUGCUUGAAAGAAAGGCGGAGUAUAAACUAAUGGAUAGGUUUUUUCCACUCAUUGGUACAAACUCCAAAACUUCUUCCAAAUUCGACCUCAAAUCAGGUAGGACUACCCGCUGAACUUAAGCAUAUCAAUAAGCGGAGG
rnacentral:rRNA from 1 species